rnacentral:rRNA from 1 species
GAUGAACGCUGGCGGCGUGCCUAAUACAUGCAAGUCGAGCGAACGGACGAGAAGCUUGCUUCUCUGAUGUUAGCGGCGGACGGGUGAGUAACACGUGGAUAACCUACCUAUAAGACUGGGAUAACUUCGGGAAACCGGAGCUAAUACCGGAUAAUAUUUUGAACCGCAUGGUUCAAAAGUGAAAGACGGUCUUGCUGUCACUUAUAGAUGGAUCCGCGCUGCAUUAGCUAGUUGGUAAGGUAACGGCUUACCAAGGCAACGAUGCAUAGCCGACCUAAGAGGGUGAUCAGCCACACGGGAACUGAGACACGGUCCAGACUCCUACGGGAGGCAGCAGUGGGGAAUAUUGCACAAGGGGCGCAAGCCUGACGCAGCCAUACCGCGGGAGUGAAGAAGGCCUUCGGGUUGGAAAACUCUUUUGUUGGGAAAGAAAAUAAGUAGGGGAAGACGCCGCUGUUCUGACGGUACCCAAAGAAAAAGCCCCGGCUAACUGCGGG